rnacentral:rRNA from 1 species
UACGUAGGGUGCGAGCGUUGUCCGGAAUUACUGGGCGUAAAGAGUUCGUAGGCGGUUUGUCGCGUCGUUCGUGAAAACUUGGGGCUUAACUCCAAGCGUGCGGGCGAUACGGGCAGACUUGAGUACUACAGGGGAGACUGGAAUUCCUGGUGUAGCGGUGAAAUGCGCAGAUAUCAGGAGGAACACCGGUGGCGAAGGCGGGACUCUGGGCCGAUACUGACGCUGAGGAGCGAAAGCGUGGGGAGCAAACAGG